ACUUAAACUUAAUUUAAAUUUUAAUAUUAAUUAUUAUUUUUAAUUAUAUAUAAAAUUUAUUUAAAUAAAACAAAAAACUUAAUAUAAAAAAUUAAUUAUUAAAAAAAUUUUUAAUUAAAAAAAAUUAUAAUAUAAAUUAAAAAUGUGCCAGCAAUUGCGGUUAAACAUUUUAUACAAAUUAAUAUCUAUUUUAAUUUAAAUAAUAUAAAUAAAAUAAUAUAAUCAAAAAUAAAUUUAUAAUUAAAUAUUAAUUUAUUUAAAAAUAUAUUUAACUAAUAAUAUAAUUUACAAAUUUUAAAAAAAACUAGGAUUAGAUACCCUAUUAUUAAAACUAAACAAUCUAAUUAAAAAAAUAAAUAAUAUUUUAUUAUCUAAAUUUAAUAAAUUUGACAGUAUAAUUAAUUUUUUAAAGGAAUAUAUUUUUAAUAGAAAAUAAACUAUAAAAAUUACUUAAAUUUAUGUUUGUAUAUUGUUGUUUUAAUUUAAUUCAAAAAUAAAUAAUUUAAAUUUUCUUUAAAAUAAAAAUUCAAAUCAAAAUUCAACUAAUAUUUAAGNAAAAAAGUAUUACAUUAAAAUAAUAUAUAAUUUAAAAAUUUUAAUAUUUUUAAAAAAAAGAAUUUAAAAUUAAAAUUAAUUAAAUUUAUUAAUUUUNAAAAAAAUUAAUAUAUGUACAUAUUGCCCGUCACUUUCAAAAUUUUGAAAUAAGUCGUAACAAAGUAAAAUUACUGGAAAGUAAUUUUAGAAU
rnacentral:rRNA from 1 species